GGAGUUAGCCGGUGCUUCUUCUGUGAGUGAUGUCCUUCCUGCCGGUUAUUGACCCGCAGGCCUUCUUCCUCACUGAAAGUGCUUUACAACCCGAAGGCCUUCUUCACACACGCGGCAUGGCUGGAUCAGGGUUGCCCCCAUUGUCCAAUAUUCCCCACUGCUGCCUCCCGUAGGAGUCUGGGCCGUGUCUCAGUCCCAGUGUGGCUGAUCAUCCUCUCAGACCAGCUACGGAUCGUCGCCUUGGUGAGCCGUUACCUCACCAACCAGCUAAUCCGACAUAGGCUCAUCCGAUAGCGCGAGGCCCGAAGGUCCCCCGCUUUCCCCCGUAGGGCGUAUGCGGUAUUAGCCUGGGUUUCCCCAGGUUAUCCCCCACUACCGGGCAGAUUCCUAUGCAUUACUCACCCGUCCGCCGCUCGCCACCAGGGAGCAAGCUCCCCGUGCUGCCGCUCGACUUGCAUGUGUUAGGCCUGCCGCCAGCGUUCAAUCUGAGCCAGAUACAAACUCUGA
rnacentral:rRNA from 1 species